rnacentral:rRNA from 1 species
GACGAAGCCGUGCGAACGUUAUUCGGAAUCACUGGGCUUAAAGCGCGUGUAGGCGGGACGGCACGUCGGUCGCUGAAAGCCCCCGGCUCAACCGGGGAACGGGCGCCGAUACGACCGCCCUGGAGGGACGUGAGGGGGACCUGGAACUUCCGGUGGAGCGGUGAAAUGCGUUGAGAUCGGAAGGAACGCCCGUGGCGAAAGCGAGGUCCUGGACGUCUGCUGACGCUGAGACGCGAAAGCCAGGGAGCGAACGGG